rnacentral:lncRNA from 1 species
GCGGCUCGUGGCAUCCGCAAUUUCUACGCUGCGCUUUUCAUCUCUGAAGCCAUGCGCAGCAGCGUGCAGUCGUCAUGUUCAGAAAAGCAGUGCAAAGGUACCCGAAUAAGCUGUACAACAUUGCUGCAAGGUGCCUUGGUAAACCAGUACCCAGCCCUGAGGAACAGAUUGGACUCUGGCUAUAUGCAAAAGGCGUGAGCGCCAUCAUGGUUCUACCAUUUCUUGUCAAUGAGCGAGGGGACGACAUGUUCACAAAAAUGGUUAGAACUUUGAGCUGCUU